rnacentral:rRNA from 1 species
AUUGAACGCUGGCGGCAGGCCUAACACAUGCAAGUCGAACGGUAACAGGAAGCAGCUUGCUGCUUUUCUGACGAGUGGCGGACGGGUGAGUAAUGUCUGGGAAACUUCCCGAUGGAGGGGGAUAACUACUGGAAACGGUAGCUAAUACCGCAUAACGUCGCAAGACCAAAGAGGGGGACCUUAGGGCCUCUUGCCAUCGGAUGUGCCCAGAUGGGAUUAGCUAGUAGGUGGGGUAACGGCUCACCUAGGCGACGAUCCCUAGCUGGUCUGAGAGGAUGACCAGCCACACUGGAACUGAGACACGGUCCAGACUCCUACGGGAGGCAGCAGUGGGGAAUAUUGCACAAUGGGCGCAAGCCUGAUGCAGCCAUGCCGCGUGUAUGAAGAAGGCCUUCGGGUUGUAAAGUACUUUCAGCGGGGAGGAAGGGAGUAAAGUUAAUACCUUUGCUCAUUGACGUUACCCGCAGAAGAAGCACCGGCUAACUCCGUG